rnacentral:rRNA from 1 species
AAUCAACGCUGGCGGCGUGCCUAACACAUGCAAGUCGAACGAGAAAGUGGAGCAAUCCAUGAGUAAAGUGGCGACCGGGUGAGUAACACGUGACUAACCUACCCUUGAGUGGGGGAUAACCUCGGGAAACCGGGGCUAAUACCGCAUAACAUCCUCGGGAUGAAAAGCCGAGGAUCAAAGGAGCAAUUCGCUUAAGGAGGGGGUCGCGGCUGAUUAGCUAGUUGGCGGGGUAACGGCCCACCAAGGCGAAGAUCGGUAGCCGGCCUGAGAGGGCGCA